rnacentral:lncRNA from 1 species
CUGGGCUUAGAGGAGUGUGCCGCCACACCUGGUUUUUCAUCUGCAAUGUUCUUAUUUUCUUAUAGUUGAUAAGUUGUAGGCCAGCUUUUACGUCUAUGGGAUGAGAAGUGAUGGGUAAGACUGGGACAGGGAGAGAACUGGCACUUCUGAGCAGGUGCAGCCCAGGGAUGAAAAGUGGGGGCAACCGGUGUCAGAUGUCACCAAUGGAUGAGAGUCCAGAAAGGAAAGGGUUUGGUGAGGAGACUGGGGAGGUCUGGGGGUCCCAGAAGCAGCUGCCCAAGGCCUCAGGCCUGGGAAGGAUCUGCUAACUCUCCAAGCCAGGGCCGAACGCCCUUCCCUUCCCAUGCAGUAUGUUGCCUCCUGCAAUUGGGAAAGAGGAAGGCAAAGAGGCUCUGACAGCAGAUGGACAAAGUCCGGGGGUGGCCAGUAGGAGGCUCUUCCUACAGUGCCUAGAAUACGAUCCCCGUGAAAACACUAGCUGCUCACAUCGCACUGAGUUCCUCCCAUUUUACAGAUGAGGAAACUGAGUUGGAAGAAGUUAAUUCUCCCAGAUCACACUGCUAAGAUUUGAAGUUGGGCUUUUGUGAUUUCUCGACCCAGACCCUAAACUGGGAGCGGCGGUACAUACCUAUAAUCCCAACACUGAGGAGGCUGCAGUAGGAGGAUCACAAAUUGAAGGCUGGCCUGGCCUAUAUAAUGAGACCCUGAUUUAAAAAACAAAAAACCUAAAAACAUCCAGGCCUUUGGGAUCCACCCCUGUUUCUCCUCAAACAUGUCUGCAGUGCUCAGGGCUAUGCUUGGCUUCCCCCAGCAUGUACUUGGAGAAACUUUGGUGCCAAAACUAGCAAGAUCUUCAUUGGGUGGAACUAUAGCUAGGGUAUCUGCAGUGGGGGAAAGAGGAGGAGGGGACCAUGUCUGUGACUCACUUGGGGUUGCCUGGGGCUAUAGUUGGAGUGUGUUAUUGAAUCAGGUCACUCCUGGGAUGGAUAACCAUGCUGGAUUGGCCCUCCUCACCUCCCUGGCCCUGAAGCCUCCAUCCCCAAGGCUCAUGCUGACUGGCCGGCAAGCUCCUGGCCCACUUCUCUCUGGCUGUGGUGGUUUGAGCUGUGCCACUCUGAGAUCAGGACACCAUGUUCUCUCUCGUUUGGUUUAAGCUGUCCCUCCCUGGAGGUUUGGACACAGACUCCCCUUCAGACCACAUCUGGGAAAGCAACGGCCAGCGAGCACCUGGAAGUUGGUCACAGUCUCACGGCUGAGUCGGAGCCUGAAGGAGCCCAGGUCUUCUGGCUCCCACUGCUGCUGAAUAAACAAGGGUCUUUCCUCCACCAGAAUAUUUUUUCCUGAUGUCUACCUUUAAUAUCUCAAGGAAAGACUGUGUAUUUUGUGCCUGUCCUCUUGGGGGGUGAAGGGUAGGUGAAGAGCAGUGGGGAGCGGCGUCUUGCCACCCUGAGGAGGUGUGCUCUUGCCGAGGAUGUUUGCCAACACCUUUGCAGCAGGCUCCUUGCAAUGCCAGGCUCUUACUCAUCUGCACUGUGCCCAGCACAGUCGGGCAAAGCUUAGGCAGCCAGGGACUCAGAACAGGCUGGUGUGAGUGGCGUGUGUGAGAAGCCCCCUUCUGGGCACACCCCCGUGGCUACAGAGACAGCAGCCAGGGCAGACUGGAGGGCCAGGUUAUCUUUAAA